AUUGAACGCUGGCGGCAUGCUUUACACAUGCAAGUCGAACGGUAACAGGUUAAGCUGACGAGUGGCGAACGGGUGAGUAAUGCAUCGGAACGUGCCCGAUCGUGGGGGAUAACGCAGCGAAAGCUGCGCUAAUACCGCAUACGAUCUGAGGAUGAAAGCGGGGGACCGUAAGGCCUCGCGCGAUCGGAGCGGCCGAUGUCAGAUUAGGUAGUUGGGGGGGUAAAGGCUCACCAAGCCGACGAUCUGUAGCUGGUCUGAGAGGACGACCAGCCACACUGGGACUGAGACACGGCCCAGACUCCUACGGGAGGCAGCAGUGGGGAAUUUUGGACAAUGGGCGCAAGCCUGAUCCAGCAAUGCCGCGUGCAGGAAGAAGGCCUUCGGGUUGUAAACUGCUUUUGUACGGAGCGAAAAGGCUCUCUCUAAUACAGGGGGCUCAUGACGGUACCGGAAGAAUAAGCACCGGCUAACUACGUG
rnacentral:rRNA from 1 species